UACGAGGGGGGCAAGCGUUGUUCGGAAUCAUUGGGCGUAAAGCGUGCGCAGGCGGUUUGGUAAGACAGAUGUGAAAUCCCCGGGCUUAACCUGGGAAUUGCAUUUGUGACUGCUCGGCUAGAGUGUGUCAGAGGGGGGUAGAAUUCCACGUGUAGCAGUGAAAUGCGUAGAUAUGUGGAGGAAUACCGAUGGCGAAGGCAGCCCCCUGGGAUAACACUGACGCUCAUGCACGAAAGCGUGGGGAGCAAACAGG
rnacentral:rRNA from 1 species